GAACAACCCUGGCUCAGCCAGUAGAGCAUGAGCCUCUUAAUCUCAGGGUUAUGGGCUCGAGCCCUACGUUGGACA